GCUGUCUCAGAUAGCCAUGCACGUCUAAGUACAAACUAAAUGAUGGUGAAACUGCAAAUGGCUCAUUACAACGGUUAUGAUGUACCCGGGAGUUCCGAUGGAUAUUUCCAGUAACACUAGAACUAAUACAUGUCCCUGCGUUUAUUAGUUUCGCACAGUCCGUCGCUGAGUCAUGGUAAACAGUUGAUCGACUCGACGUCCCGGAACAGUUUCCGCCCCAUCAGCUUCGAUGGUUGGGUAUUGGCCUACCAUUGCAACAACGGGUAACGAGGAAUUAGGGUUUGAUUUCGGAGAGGGAGCCUGAGAAACGGCUACCACAUCUACGGAUGGCAGCAGGCGCGCAAAUUACCCAAUGCAGACACUGUGAGGUAGUGACGAGAAAUAAUAAAGCGGGACUUCUGUUUCGCUAUUAUAAUGAGGAAUAACCAAAGGUCAUUCCGAUUAGCAACUGAUGGGAAAGUCUGGUGCCAGCAGCCGCGGUAAUACCAGCGUCAGUAGCA
rnacentral:rRNA from 1 species